GAUCCUGGCUCAGGAUGAACGCUAGCUACAGGCUUAACACAUGCAAGUCGAGGGGAAACGACAUCGAAAGCUUGCUUUUGAUGGGCGUCGACCGGCGCACGGGUGAGUAACGCGUAUCCAACCUGCCUACCACUUGGGGAUAACCUUGCGAAAGUAAGACUAGUACCCAAUGACAUCCCACGAAGACAUCUGAAUGGGAUUAAAGAUUUAAUCGGUGAUGGAUGGGGAUGCGUCUGAUUAG
rnacentral:rRNA from 1 species